UGACAGUGGCGUUGAUGGAUUUGGUACCUGGCUCUACAAUGGGCCUCAUAACAAGGUAGUGCACUCCAACAUCUCCUGUUCUGUCUUUGGGACUCAGCACCCAGGGGGACCUGAGUCUUGGCUACAUAAGUGUCAUCAUUUGGAUAGUCUUUAUAUCCCAGAAAUAGCAUGAAGGAAAUGUCUUCAGAUGGCUCCAUUUUCAGCACGAGCGUUACAUCUGGUGAGGGAACGUCAAUUAUUAAUGUGCUAAAAUUGGCAAGGUCCAGGACUGUGCUGUUUGCCUGCCCAUCGUCAAGUCUUGGCAAGUCCUCAACAGGGAUGACGGUGCCGUUCAGCCUGGUGAGAGAAAGGGAUCCUACAGUUCCGGUGAUGUUUGCUUCCCUCCAAGAAUAAGGAUUCUUCUCGAAACUCAUCAUCUAGAAGAUACAUAUAUAUACACUGAAAAAAGUCUACACAACAGUGACUAUUUAGUAGUAAGUUCAUGUAAUUUGUCCUUCACUAUUGGUAAUUUAUGCUAACUGACACAAUGCAGAGCACUAUAACAGUUAUAAACAGCAGUUUAUACUGUAUGGGAAUGGCCUUUAGGCUCUGUU